rnacentral:rRNA from 1 species
AUUGGGUUUAAAGGGAGCGUAGGCCGGAGAUUAAGUGUGUUGUGAAAUGUAGACGCUCAACGUCUGACUUGCAGCGCAUACUGGUUUCCUUGAGUACGCACAACGUUGGCGGAAUUCGUCGUGUAGCGGUGAAAUGCUUAGAUAUGACGAAGAACUCCGAUUGCGAAGGCAGCUGACGGGAGCGCAACUGACGCUGAAGCUCGAAGGUGCGGGUAUCGAACAGGAUUAGAUACCCUGGUAGUCCGCACAGUAAACGAUGGAUGCCCGCUGUUGGUACGUGGUAUCAGCGGCUAAGCGAAAGCAUUAAGCAUCCCACCUGGGGAGUACGCCGGCAACGGUGAAACUCAAAGGAAUUGACGGGGGCCCGCACAAGCGGAGGAACAUGUGGUUUAAUUCGAUGAUACGCGAGGAACCUUACCCGGGCUUGAAUUGCAGAGGAAGGAUUUAGAGAUAAUGACGCCCUUCGGGGUCUCUGUGAAGGUGCUGCAUGGUUGUCGUCAGCUCGUGUCGUGAG